rnacentral:rRNA from 1 species
GAUGAACGCUGGCGGCGUGCUUAACACAUGCAAGUCGAACGGAAAGGCUCCUGCUUGCAGGGGUACUCGAGUGGCGAACGGGUGAGUAACACGUGGGUGAUCUGCCCUGCACUUCGGGAUAAGCCUGGGAAACUGGGUCUAAUACCGGAUAGGACCACAUUUUGGAUGGUGUGGUGGAAAGUUUUUCGGUGUGGGAUGAGCUCGCGGCCUAUCAGCUUGUUGGUGGGGUAAUGGCCUACCAAGGCGUCGACGGGUAGCCGGCCUGAGAGGGUGUACGGCCACAUUGGGACUGAGAUACGGCCCAGACUCCUACGGGAGGCAGCAGUGGGGAAUAUUGCACAAUGGGCGCAAGCCUGAUGCAGCGACGCCGCGUGGGGGAUGACGGCCUUCGGGUUGUAAACUCCUUCCGCUAGGGACGAAGCGCAAGUGACGGUACCUGGAGAAGAAGCACCGGCUAACUACGUG